rnacentral:rRNA from 1 species
CCUACGGGAGGCAGCAGUGAGGAAUAUUGGUCAAUGGACGAGAGUCUGAACCAGCCAAGUAGCGUGAAGGAUGACUUCCCUAUGGGUUUUAAACUUCUUUUAUAAAGGAAUAAAACGAGGCACGUGUGCCUUUUUGCAUGUACUUUAUUAAUAAGGAUCGGCUAACUCCGUGCCAGCAGCCGCGGUAAUACGGAGGAUCCGAGCGUUAUCCGGAUUUAUUUGGUUUAAAGGGAGCGUAGAUGGGUUGUUAAGUCAGUUGUGAAAGUUUGCGGCGCAACCGUAAAAUUGCAAUUGAUACUGGCAGUCUUGAGUACAGUUGAGGUAGGCGGAAUUCGUGGUGUAGCGGUGAAAUGCUUAGAUAUCACGAAGAACCCCGAUUGCGAAGGCAGCUUACUAAACUGUGACUGACAUUGAUGCUCGAAAGUGUGGGUAUCAAACAGGAUUAGAUACCCCAGUAGUC